rnacentral:lncRNA from 1 species
AACAGCAACGUGCUCAACGAGCUGAGUCAGGCAUGGGCUGUGAGAAACAAAAAUCACAGAGGAGGGCUUGGUGCUUUCCAUGCACACCUGACAGCCCCCAGGCACGCUGCCUGCAGCCUUCCACACUUCAAAGGGGAGCCACCACCACGUACCUGUAUGAAGCCAAGAAGCAGUCCCAAGGGCCCAGAGGAGGAUUCCUCCAGCUGGUUUGUCUGCUCCCUGAUCACCAGGGAACAGAAAUAGAGAAAUUAUUGGAUGUUACAAUAGCGCCUCAGACCUGGGACAGACCAGUUUCAUGCCAGGAGAAGACCAGACACCGUCACCUAACAGAGGUGCAGGAGACUCACAGGUGCACUUCAGGGGUCUGGGGUGGUUGGUGUCCCAAACCUGCAAGGGGUCCUGCAAGCAGCCAGACCACUGAAGUAGCACUCAGGAGUUAUCCCAGAGGUUCCUGGCCAGCUGGCUGCCCAGUAGCCCCUGGACGAGACAGUUGCCUGUUGACUCUGUUCUGUAGGGGUACGCCGUGUUACGUUAUCCUCCUGUCUUCUUGCUGCAGUGCCAAAAUCUCUCUGCACUAUUCCUAGCCUCUUGAUCUCCAGCAUCAGCAGGACUUAAACAAGACAAGUACAAAUGGAUGGAAACUCUCAGGGUGCCAGGAGCUGUUGAGUUUAGCAAUGCUUCAUCACGCUGCCAGAGAGACCGGACGCAUAUUUACUGUGAGUUACUCUGAUGCUUCAGCUGGCCUUGAAGAGCAGGAACUGCUGCUUGUCUGAUGCUAGGGAACAACCUUAAGCUGUUUUUUAGUGUUUUUGUUUUGUUUUGUUUUGGUUUUUUUCAAAUCACCAAAUAUAACAAAAAUGUAUUUACAGCAGAGAACUCCACUUUUACUGCCUUUGACUUGAUUUUCUCCUACCCCUGUCCCUCUUUCUGUUUAUAGUUACUCCUCAUGACUCAGUUUUCCUUCCUCUAUCUGCGUUCUCCCCCCAGCUACCCUUCCACUGCUGGGAAUUUCUUAGAAAUGUUAUACUACCAGCGUUCACCUUUGUUCUGAGAAAAAGGAGCACAAGAACAUUUGCUUGGAAGCGGAAUGACAUCUCUGAGCAAUGACACAGGCUUUGGACAUCGAAUAAAACUGAAGAGGGGCAAAUCUGAGGGCA